rnacentral:snoRNA from 1 species
AUCCUCAGUUCCCAAGUAUGAUGAUGGGGUGGGGUGUUCACAAUGCUGCGUGAGAUGUGCCUCCCUCUAAACCUUCUUAUGAUGUUUUGAUCACAUCACCCACCUGAUG